rnacentral:rRNA from 1 species
AGAGUUUGAUCCUGGCUCAGGAUGAACGCUGGCGGCGUGCCUAACACAUGCAAGUCGAACGAAGCAUGACCCAUGAGGCCUUCGGCGGAAUGGGUCAUGACUUAGUGGCGGACGGGUGAGUAACGCGUGGGUAACCUGCCCUAUACUGGGGGAUAACAGCUGAAAUGGCUGCUAAUACCGCAUGAGCGCACAGUCCCGCAUGGGACAGUGCGGAAAACUCCGGUGGUAUAGGAUGGACCCGCGUCCGAUCAGCUGGUUGGUGGGGUAACGGCCCACCAAGGCGACGAUCGGUAGCCGACCUGAGAGGGUGACCGGCCACAUUGGGACCGAGACACGGCCCAAACUCCUACGGGAGGCAGCAGUGGGGGAUAUUGCACAAUGGGGGGAACCCUGAUGCAGCGACGCCGCGUGAGUGAAGGAGUACUCCGGUAUGUAAAGCUCUAUCAGCAGGGAAGAAGCAAGACGGUACCUGACCAAGAAGCCCCGGCUAACUACGUG